rnacentral:tRNA from 5 species
GGGCGAUUAGCUCAGCUGGGAGAGCGCCAUCCUCACACGGUGGAGGCCACAGGUUCGAGCCCUGUAUCGCCCA